CGUUGCACAUUAUAUGCAUGCAAGAAGCGCGGUGAAUUAAAUUGUGAAAGUGGAUUGUUCGAUUGUGAUGCGUUGUCUGAUAAUUAUCUUGUCAUAUCAAACACAUCCUUUCAGCGCCUUCACAACAAAAUCAGAGCCUUCAUGUCAAAUUAGACAUGAUUUUGGACAACCAAAAAGAGGAGUUGUGCCUCUUGAGGAAAGUGGCCAGGCUCCGAGCUCCUGAUGAUGAGGACAUCGAAGAAUUUACUCCAAAACCUCUGGAAACUGUCGCAGAACUGGAGGACCUAUGUGAAAAGCUGAAUUCUCCUGAAGAGGCCAACUUCAAAAACAGAUGAUUCGUCACUUUACUUCCAUGGGAGGCUACAACCUUGGCGAGAGUGUCCGCCACAUGCUACGCAGGCUAGGGACAAAUAUGCUGUGGUCCCUUUACAGCUACAAGGGACGAAAGGGGAAAAGAGCUCUGAGCGAUCUUCAAAUCUCCCGGGUGUUAAUCAAAGCCUGUCUGAGUGCCCACCCAAAAAGCCGAGUCUUGGAAAUUGAAGAAACCAUCCAAGAGACUCUCAAGUACUGCCCAAACCGAAAGGGUGGGGCAAAGUACAAGGUACGUUUCUCUUGUUGCAUUUUCAGUUUUCACACGCAUAAAGUCUAGUCUUGUCAAAACACAAAUAUUAAGUGACUCCGAGUGAAGGGAGGAAUAUUAUUGAAAGGCAAAAUCUGUACUUCUCCAUUUCCUUAGGCGAAGCGGAGUGAACUGGGAAAAGAAAAUCCAGAUUU